UUCUCUUUCUUCGUCUCCUUUCUUCCUCUCUUCUCUAUUCUUCUUCUCCCGUUGAUUAUCUGUGAGGUUCAAUGAAGAAAAUCAAUCGAUGAUGUUGUGUAGAUGAUGAAGGUGAUGUUGUUAAUUCAAGCAGUUGAUUCAGAAUUACCAGGAAAGGUAAAUCAGAGAUAAUCAGAAUUAGGGUUCGUAGAGUGGAUUGAAGUUCUGGAGAUUUAGGAAAUGAUUAUGGAGCUGUUGUUAGAUGAAGAAUCUUGGGUUGAUGUUUAAUUGUAGUUUUGAAGUUGAUUCAGUGAUGAAUCGAAGAACUAGGAUUUCUCAGAAGAUUGUCUAGAGGAUGAAUACGAUGGGAUUAGAGAUGGGUUUUGACAGAUUGAAUGAAUUAGGGUUUAUGAUGAAGAAUAAUUAGAGUUUGCAUAGAAUCAUUGAUGGUGUUGAAGUGUAGUGAGGUUUGGAUGAACCGUGAUGUGUUGCUGAACUGAAUCAAGGUAAAUAAGAAGUUUAUGGUAUUGAUUUGCAGAUUCAGUUAUUGAAGGAUUCUAAUUUCAGAUUUCAGGUAAUUGUGUUACCCUGUAAUUGUAGUAAGAUUAUUAUCUGGUUGUUGUGGUUCAAUUCUAUGUUGUUGUGGUCUUAAUUUUGAUUAUACCAUUUAAAUGGUGAGGAACGAAGAUUAUUGAGUCUCGGUUGGUGUUGCUAGAGAUUGAGUUGAAUUUGCAGGUGGAGAAGUGAUAUUGGUACUUAGUUCUAAAUUGAUUGAAGUUAUAGAUGGGUGUUUAUGAUGUAUGACAGGGGAUUAAUGUUGUAUGCUUGGAAGAUACAGGUAUUGGAGAUAUAGAUGAUUGAGUUAGGAAGUUAUGUGAACUGGUAUUCUUGUAUUCUUGUGAUUGCUAUGAGGUCAAUGUAAUGAACUGGACAAGAGAAUUGGUGUUAGUGUAUAGAUUGUAGAUAGGAAGAGGAAUGACAGUCAUUCUCAUGGGUUGGUGGAAUUGGUAUUGCAGGUGGUAGUAGUUCUCCCAGUUACAGGAUAUGAGAGAAGUUUAUGAUGCAGUGUUUUGUAAUGGGUUUGUAAUGGAAGUGGUUGUCUGUGUAAGUGAUUGCAGCUUGUUGAGUUUGACAGAGAUAUUGUUGAGAUAUGGAAGUGGAUGGCUAGGGUCGUAUCUGAUCUUAGUUGAAGUUGUUGAUUGAUGCAGUGAGUGAUAUAAAUGAAGCUUAGAUGUAUGGAGUAUGAUUUAUGUGUAAGGAAUUGUAACUAGUGCUGAUUUGAUAUAAAGAAUUGGGUUUACAGUUGGUGUUACUUUUGUUGUGGUGAAGUCACAAUGCCAGAAUGUCUGUAGAAGUUGAAUGAAAUGGAUUGCAAGUAAUAAAAUUGAUAGUGCUGAUAGAAAGUAAGUGUGGAAUGAAGUUGCUUAGAGCUGCAUUUGCAGUUAGUUUAUAUUAACAACGGUCGAUUCAAGGAUGAACCAGUGGAUCGUGGAUCUCGAGGUAGGCGAGGCUUGUCAUCAAAAGAGUUUCAGAGACAGAUCAAAGUUGCGCAGCGGAAGCUUUGUGGCGUUGAGUCUUCUGCUAUGUAUAUUAUGUUGUAUAUUCUAUUUGCAAACCAAAUGACUAUUGUAUAUGUAUCAUUUGAGAGGAGUUCUUAUUUAUAUAUUUCUGAGAGGGGCUAGUUUUUGGGUUAAGUUUUGUAGCAGAUUUCUUAAUUGAGUGUUUAAGUACAUGAUUAGAUUCUUAGUGCCUCGUUAUUUAGUUAACCUCUUGGAUUAGUCAGUUGCUAGCUUUGGGGCGCUACAAUACUAAAAACCGUGAUUUAUUCG